GCCUAUUAGGCCUCGGGUUCAGCCUAGGGUUGGGCCGAGGGUUGGGCCGAGGUGCCGGCCUAUUGCGGGGCCUCCUUGGAGUCGAAGGGCGGGGCCGAGGUCUGCCUUGGCGGUUUCCACAUUCGCGCAUCAGCAUCAGCGCCCAGCAGCCGGCGAGGCUCGGUUCCCCACAACUCUCAGCCGGGAAGAGCAUGGCUUCAGGCGGCCCUGCGCAGAGAACGCAGGAUGGUGGAUCCUCGAGAAGUUAAGAAAGAGCAAUGUACUGACUGAUCACUCUGGAUAAAGACAGUGUGCUAAACUGAGACGAAGACAUCGCUGAGCCAGAUGCUGUGUGGGGGAAACACGGUUUAACACCGUAAAGGAGCUCAGCACGGUGCUUGGCACACAGGAAGCCCUUGGUAAAUGAUGGCUGAUCUGCAGCUGAGACAGUGCCAGCCCUGGGAAUGGAGUGGAGCGGCCCGGUCUAGUUUGGCACUCGAACCUCAGUGACAGGUGGACCGAUAGCGGUUCCUGGUGCUGGCCAUUUCUGGUGUCUUCUGUGACCCUGGACGUCCCUGCAGUCUCGGGUCAGC